rnacentral:rRNA from 1 species
UGUGUAGGCGGUUAUGUAAGAUAGCGGUGAAAUCCCGGGGCUUAACCUCGGAAUAGCCGUUAUAACUAUGUAGCUAGAGUUAUGGAGAGGAUAGCGGAAUACCCAGUGUAGAGGUGAAAUUCGUAGAUAUUGGGUAGAACACCGGUGGCGAAGGCGGCUAUCUGGCCAUAUACUGACGCUGAGGCACGAAAGCAUGGGGAUCAAACAA